CUACGGGGUGCUGCAGUGGGGAAUUUUGCGCAAUGGGGGAAACCCUGACGCAGCAAUACCGCGUGAGUGAAGAAGGCCUUUGGGUCGUAAAGCUCUUUUCUUGGGGAAGAUAGUGACGGUACCCAAGGAAUAAGCACCGGCUAACUCCGUGCCAGCAGCCGCGGUAAUACGGAGGGGUGCAAGCGUUGUUCGGAUUUACUGGGCGUAAAGGGCACGUAGGCGGCACAGCAAGUUAAGGGUGAAAUCCCGGGGCUCAACUCCGGAACUGCUCUUAAAACUGCUGAGCUAGAGAUAGUCAGAGGAGGGUGGAAUUCCAGGUGUAGAGGUGAAAUUCGUAGAUAUCUGGAGGAACACCGGUGGCGAAGGCGGCCCGCUGGGGCUAUUCUGACGCUAAGGUGCGAAAGCGUGGGGAGCAAACGGGAUUAGAUACCCUCGUAGUC
rnacentral:rRNA from 1 species